rnacentral:tRNA from 1 species
CCUGGUGUCUCAGUGGUAAAGAACCUGCCUGUAAUGCAGGAGAACUGGGUUGGAUCCCCAGGUCAGGA